ACAAUUGAUUAAUCAAUUAAUUAAUAAAUGUCCAAGAUCAUGAAGAUGAAGAGUUUGGCUUUGAUGAUCUUGCUGCAGUCUGUUUUGAUGGUUAUCUUGCUCCUUUCUCUAGCCACUGCAGCAAGAGAGUUCCCUUCCUCUCAUGAUCAUGGUGAAGGAAUUCAGGGACGAGAAUUGGCUAAUCUAGACUCAGAUGGUCCAUGGGGUCACGGUUAUAUCCAUGAUUAAUAAUGUUAGAAUAUUGAAGUCUCAUCAUGCACCUUCUCCAAAUGUCUUUUGUAUAUUAUAAACUUUAAUUUUCAUGUGGCAGCAUCCUGUCAUGUGUAAUUAAACAUCUAUCCUUUAAUGCAUAAGUAAUGUGUUAAUGUGUUAUGUAUUAUGAUAUUUGAAAUUAUUUAUGGUGAUUGAAUAGUUAAGUUAUGUAUAUGUAACUCAUUAAGUUAGCAAAUUCA